rfam:Gorilla gorilla gorilla genomic chromosome, chr19, whole genome shotgun sequence
GCUGGGCGUGGUGGUGCAUGUCUGUAAUCCAGCUACUCAGGAGGCUGAGGCAUGAGAAUCACUUGAACCCAGGAGGCGGAGGUUGCAGUGAGCCAAGAACGGGCCACUGCACUCCAGCCUGGGUGACACAGUGAGACUCUGCCUCAA